UACAGAGGGGGCAAGCGUUGUUCGGAAUUACUGGGCGUAAAGGGCGCGUAGGCGGCCUGUUAAGUCGAACGUGAAAUCCCCAGGCUCAACCUGGGAACUGCGUCCGAAACUGGCAGGCUUGAAUCCGGGAGAGGGAUGUGGAAUUCCAGGUGUAGCGGUGAAAUGCGUAGAUAUCUGGAGGAACACCGGUGGCGAAGGCGGCAUCCUGGACCGGCAUUGACGCUGAGGCGCGAAAGCUAGGGGAGCAAACGGG
rnacentral:rRNA from 1 species